UUAAAUUGAAGAGUUUGAUCAUGGCUCAGAUUGAACGCUGGCGGCAGGCCUAACACAUGCAAGUCGAACGGUAACAGGAAGCAGCUUGCUGCUUCGCUGACGAGUGGCGGACGGGUGAGUAAUGUCUGGGAAACUGCCUGAUGGAGGGGGAUAACUACUGGAAACGGUGGCUAAUACCGCAUAACGUCGCAAGACCAAAGAGGGGGACCUUCGGGCCUCUUGCCAUCAGAUGUGCCCAGAUGGGAUUAGCUAGUUGGUGAGGUAACGGCUCACCAAGGCGACGAUCCCUAGCUGGUCUGAGAGGAUGACCAGCCACACUGGAACUGAGACACGGUCCAGACUCCUACGGGAGGCAGCAGUGGGGAAUAUUGCACAAUGGGCGCAAGCCUGAUGCAGCCAUGCCGCGUGUAUGAAGAAGGCCUUCGGGUUGUAAAGUACUUUCAGCGGGGAGGAAGGUGUUGUGGUUAAUAACCGCAGCAAUU
rnacentral:rRNA from 1 species